GAUUGGAGCGGCCGAUAUCGGAUUAUCUAUUUGGUGAGGUAAAGGCUCACCAAGGCGACAAUCCGUAUCUGGUCUGAGAGGACGACCACCCACACUGGAACUGAGACACGGUCCAGACUCCUACGGGAGGCAGCAGUGGGGAAUUUUGGACAAUGGGGGCAACCCUGAUCCAGCCAUUCCGCGUGAGUGAAGAAAGCCUUCGGGUUGUAAAGCUCUUUC
rnacentral:rRNA from 1 species